rnacentral:rRNA from 1 species
AGUGAACGCUGGCGGUAGGCCUAACACAUGCAAGUCGAACGAGUGGCGGACGGGUGAGGAAUACAUCGGAAUCUGCCCUGUAGUGGGGGAUAACGUAGGGAAACUUAGGCUAAUACCGCAUACGAUUGAAUGAGCCGAUGUCGGAUUAGCUAGUUGGCGGGGUAAAGGCCCACCAAGGCGACGAUCCGUAGCUGGUCUGAGCGGAUGAUCAGCCAAACAGGCACAGAGACACGGUCCAGACGCCUACGGGAGGCAGCAGUGGGGAAUAGUGGACUAUUGGCGCAAGCCUGAUACAGCCAUGCCGCGUGUAUGAAGAAGGCCUGCGGGUUGUAGAGUACUAUCAGCGUGGAGGCGGUACCCGGAGAAGAAGCACCGGCUAACUACGUGCCAGCAGCCGCGGUAAUAC